rnacentral:rRNA from 1 species
AUACGUAGGGGGCGGGCGUUGUCCGGAAUGAUUGGGCGUAAAGGGCGCGUAGGCGGCGCGGUAAGUCUGGAGUGAAAGUCCUGCUUUCAAGGUGGGAAUUGCUUUGGAUACUGCCGCGCUUGAGUGCAGGAGAGGUUAUCGGAAUUCCCGGUGUAGCGGUGAAAUGCGUAGAGAUCGGGAGGAACACCAGUGGCGAAGGCGGGUAACUGGACUGCAACUGACGCUGAGGCGCGAAAGUGUUGGGAGCAAACAGGAUUAUAUACCCUGGUAGUCCACACUGUAAACGAUGAAUGCUAGGUGUAAGAGGUAUCGACCCCUUUUGUGCCGGAGUCAACACAAUAAGCAUUCCGCCUGGGGAGUACGGCCGCAAGGUUGAAACUCAAAGGAAUUGACGGGG